GUGCUUGUGUUGGGGGGAACAAGAUGGUUUUGGGGUUGGUUUUCUCAGGUUGAUGGCUUAUCCUUUGUACUUGAGAUAUGCUGACCCCCGGGGUUUCCCCAAAGGUGGAAAACUUGACUGCAUAAUCAGUGGUAGCAGGUGACUGCAUUCAUGUUUUACUUGU